rnacentral:rRNA from 1 species
GACGAACGCUGGCGGCGUGCUUAACACAUGCAAGUCGAACGGAAAGGCCCCUUUUGGGGUCCUCGAGUGGCGUACGGGUGAGUAACACGUGCGUAACCUGCCCUUGACUUCGGGAUAACUUCAGGAAACUGGGGCUAAUACCGGAUAGGAAUCCUUGCUGCAUGGUGGGGGUUGGAAAGCUUCGGCGGUUUUGGAUGGACUCGCGGCCUAUCAGCUUGUUGGUGGGGUAGUGGCUUACCAAGGCUUUGACGGGGAGCCGGCCUGAGAGGGCGACCGGCCACAGUGGGACUGGGAUACGGACCAGACUCCGACGGGAGGCAGCAGUGGGGAAUAUUGCACAAUGGGCGGAAGCCUGAUGCAGCAACGGCGCGGGCGGGAUGACGGCCUUCGGGUUGUAAACCGCAUUCAGCAGGGGCGAAGCUUGUGGUGACGGUACCUGCAGAAGAAGCACCGGCUAACUACGUG